UAUCUGGUUCUUCUUCUUUUUCUUUGCCUUUGUCUCCUUUAUUUUCUCUUUCUUUUUGUUUCUCGUUUUGGAUGGGGUUAUUGUCGGAAAUGGACAGGGCGGGGAUAAUAGGCCGAG
rnacentral:ribozyme from 1 species